UACGUAGGGAGCAAGCGUUAUCCGGAUUUAUUGGGUGUAAAGGGUGCGUAGACGGGAAAUUAAGUUAGUUGUGAAAUCCCUCGGCUCAACUGAGGAACUGCAACUAAAACUGAUUUUCUUGAGUGCUGGAGAGGAAAGUGGAAUUCCUAGUGUAGCGGUGAAAUGCGUAGAUAUUAGGAAGAACACCAGUGGCGAAGGCGGCUCACUGGUCCGGUACUGACGCUGAGGUGCGAAAGCGUGGGGAGCAAACAGG
rnacentral:rRNA from 1 species